rnacentral:rRNA from 1 species
UAUACUUUGUAUACGUGGUAGGGGAGCGUUCUGUAAGCCGAUGAAGGUGUGUUGAGAAGCAUGCUGGAGGUAUCAGAAGUGCGAAUGCUGACGUGAGUAACGACAAAACGGGUGAAAAACCCGUUCGCCGAAAGACCAAGGGUUCCAGUCCAACGUUAAUCGGGGCUGGGUGAGUCGACCCCUAAGGCGAGGCCGAAAGGCGUAGUCGAUGGGAAAAUGGUUAAUAUUCCAUUACUUCUGUGUAAUGCGAUGAGAGGACGGAGAAGGCUAAAUCAGCCUGGCGUUGGUUGUCCAGGUGAAAGGAUGUAGGCAUGUAUCUUAGGCAAAUCCGGGGUACUCUAUGCUGAGAUCUGAUAGCAAGCUGUACUUGUACAGCGAAGUGGUUGAUGCCAUGCUUCCAGGAAAAGUCUCUAAGCUUCAGUUACACAGGAAUCGUACCCGAAACCGACACAGGUGGUCAGGUCGAGUAGACCAAGGCGCUUGAGAGAACUCUGCUGAAGGAACUAGGCAAAAUGGUACCGUAACUUCGGGAGAAGGUACGCUGUUGUUGGUGAUGGAACUCGCUUCCUGAGCUGACGACAGCCGCAGAAACCAGGCCGCUGCAACUGUUUAUUAAAAACAUAGCACUCUGCAAACACGAAAGUGGACGUAUAGGGUGUGAUGCCUGCCCGGUGCUGGAAGGUUAAUUGAUGGGGUUAGCGUAAGCGAAGCUCUUGAUCGAAGCCCCAGUAAACGGCGGCCGUAACUAUAACGGUCCUAAGGUAGCGAAAUUCCUUGUCGGGUAAGUUCCGACCUGCACGAAUGGCAUAAUGAUGGCGGCGCUGUCUCCAGCAGAGGCUCAGUGAAAUCGAAAUCGCUGUGAAGAUGCAGUGUACCCGCGGCUAGACGGAAAGACCCCGUGAACCUUUACUGCAGCUUGACACUGAACUUUGACCUUACUUGUGUAGGAUAGGUGGGAGGCUUUGAAGCUGGAACGCUAGUUCCAGUGGAGCCGUCCUUGAAAUACCACCCUGGUAAUGUUGAGGUUCUAACUCUGUCCCGUGAUCCGGGACGAGGACCGUGUCUGGUGGGUAGUUUGACUGGGGCGGUCUCCUCCUAAAGAGUAACGGAGGAGUACGAAGGUGCGCUCAGCGUGGUCGGAAAUCACGCGUAGAGUAUAAAGGCAAAAGCGCGCUUAACUGCGAGACCCACAAGUCGAGCAGGUACGAAAGUAGGUCUUAGUGAUCCGGUGGUUCUGUAUGGAAGGGCCAUCGCUCAACGGAUAAAAGGUACUCUGGGGAUAACAGGCUGAUACCGCCCAAGAGUUCAUAUCGACGGCGGUGUUUGGCACCUCGAUGUCGGCUCAUCUCAUCCUGGGGCUGAAGCAGGUCCCAAGGGUAUGGCUGUUCGCCAUUUAAAGAGGUACGCGAGCUGGGUUUAGAACGUCGUGAGACAGUUCGGUCCCUAUCUACCGUGGGCGCUGGAAAUUUGAGAGGAUCUGCUCCUAGUACGAGAGGACCAGAGUGGACGAACCUCUGGUGUACCGGUUGUGACGCCAGUCGCAUCGCCGGGUAGCUAUGUUCGGAAGGGAUAACCGCUGAAAGCAUCUAAGCGGGAAGCCUACCUCAAGAUAAGAUUUCCCUAGGACUUUAUGUCCUCUAAAGAGCCGUUCGAGACUAGGACGUUGAUAGGUUGGAUGUGGAAGCAUAGUGAUAUGUGAAGCUGACCAAUACUAAUUGCUCGUGAGGCUUGACUAU